UGGGUGAUUUUGUGGUAUUUUGUGUAUGUUUUUUCAAUUGUGAUUUUCGAUGAAGGAUGAGGAAGAAAGGGGGGAAGAAAUUAGGAUGGCCGACAGCACAACUCGCAAGCAAAAGAU